GCCUGAGUGGCGGAACUGGCAGACGCAGGAGACUCAAAAUCUCCCACCGGUCACCCGGUGUGUGGGUUCGAUUCCCUCCUCAGGCACCA
rnacentral:tRNA from 1 species